rnacentral:rRNA from 1 species
GUGUCAGCCGCCGCGGUAAUACGAAGGGGGCUAGCGUUGUUCGGAAUCACUGGGCGUAAAGCGCAUGCAGGCGGAUCGAUAAGUCGGGGGUGAAAGCCCGAGGCUCAACCUCGGAACUGCCUUCGAUACUGUCGAUCUUGAGUCCGGGAGAGGUGAGUGGAACUCCGAGUGUAGAGGUGAAAUUCGUAGAUAUUCGGAAGAACACCAGUGGCGAAGGCGGCUCACUGGCCCGGUACUGACGCUGAGAUGCGAAAGCGUGGGGAGCAAACAGGAUUAGAAACCCGGGUAGUCC